rfam:Ornithorhynchus anatinus chromosome 1, whole genome shotgun sequence.
AGCAGUGUGGCUCAGUGGAAAGAGCCCAGGCUUGGGAGUCAGAGGUCAUGGGUUCGAAUCCCAGGCUCUGCCA